rfam:Aedes aegypti strain Liverpool supercont1.371 genomic scaffold, whole genome shotgun sequence.
UGUCCAGUAACUCCUGUCCCUACCUCCCCGUGGUGCCGUCUGGGAUACGAGUAACCAUAGGGAUGAUCGGGUUACCAACCUCGGUGGGACCUUGGUCGUAUGCUGACAGGGAAGG